GUCCACGCCGUAAACUAUGGGUGCUAGCCGUCGGUCGGCAUGCCGGUCGGUGGCGCAGCAAACGCAUUAAGCACCCCGCCUGGGGAGUACGGUCGCAAGAUUAAAACUCAAAGGAAUUGACGGGGGCCCCGCACAAGCGGUGGAGCAUGUGGUUUAAUUCGAGGCAACGCGAAGAACCUUACCAGCCCUUGACUUCCCGGUCGGGGCUCCGGAGACGGAGCUCUUCAAUUGGCCGGUGACAGGUGCUGCAUGGCUGUCGU
rnacentral:rRNA from 1 species